GAAGAAUUAGUUAAACUAUAACAUUAGAAUGUCAAACUAAAAUUAUCAAAUAGAUUAUGAUAUUCUUCA
rnacentral:tRNA from 1 species